UGAUGACGUGAUGCCGUUGCCGUGACUGACUGAGAGCAGAGCAGAGCAGAGCAGAGCGGUGGAUGAACAGAGUCCAGUGAUACCGAGUAAAAACAAUGUUUGGAUCGUUGUUUCGUCGCUUCAGUUUGUUGGCGCGAUGUGAAACUUCAUUACUGAAGAGGUCUGGAUGUUAAAACGAGGUUUGGAGCUGUUUCUGUCGAGGCUGAGGCUGGACCCUGAACACACCGGCAGCUAAGGUGUGACCACUUCGUCCACGACUUCGUCCAUGACAUCGUCCACAAUCGGAGAGACAUUGUUGAGGAUGAGGGAGACAUCGUCCACGAUCAGAGACAUUGUCCCGUGACUCGUGGUGACUCGGUCCCCAAUAAGUCGGCACUGCCGGCGUUCAUGGAGACAUUGUCGAUGAUCGCAGAGACUUUGUCCAUGAUCUCAGAGACAUUGUCUGCGAUCGCAGAGAGUCUUCGUACAGUGACGUUCUUUGAGACCAGGACAGAGGCCUCCAGGUGUCACCACUUCGUCCACAUCAUCAUCCACAAUUGCUGAGACGUCGUCCAUGAUCGGAGAGACAUUGUUGAGGAUGAGGGAGACAUCGUCCACGAUCAGAGACGUUGUCCGUGAUCGCAGAGACCUUGUCAAAGAUGAGAGAGACGUUGUCCAUGGUCAGAGACAUUGUCGCUGCUUCGCAGAGCUCUGCGCAAGAAUCGGUAGUGACACUGUGGUUCCUCGAUUCGACGGCAUGACCGCGAUCAGCUGACAUUGUUAAUGAUCACAGUGAAACAGUCUAUCAUCAGAGACUUGGUCCACGAUCACAGACACAUUGUCAAUGAUCGCUGAGACUUUGUCCAUAAUCUCAGAGACAUUGUCCGCGAUCAGAGACACAUUGUCCGCGAUCACAGAGACGUAGUCCUCCAUCACAGAAGACCAGGUGUCACCAUUUCGUCCACAACAUCGUCCACAAUUGCUGAGACGUCGUCCAUGAUCGGAGAGACAUUGUUGAGGAUGAGGGAGACAUCGUCCACGAUCAGAGACAUUGUCCCGUGACUCGUGGUGACUCGGUCCCCGAUAAGUCGGCACUGCCGGCGUUCAUGGAGACAUUGUCAAUGAUCGCUGAGACUUUGUCCAUAAUCUCAGAGACAUUGUCCGCGAUCAGAGACGUAGUCCGCAAUCACAGACGACAUCGUCCACCAUCGCUGAGCCGUCGUCCAUGAUCGGAGAGACAUUGUUGAGGAUGAGGGAGACAUCGUCCACGAUCAGAGACAUUGUCCCGUGACUCGUGGUGACUCGGUCCCCGAUAAGUCGGCACUGCCGGCGUUCAUGGAGACAUUGUCGAUGAUCGCAGAGACUUUGUCCAUGAUCUCAGAGACAUUGUCUGCGAUCGCAGAGAGUCUUCGUACAGUGACGUUCUUUGAGACCAGGACAGAGGCCUCCAGGUGUCACCACUUCGUCCACAACAUCAUCCACAAUUGCUGAGACGUCGUCCAUGAUCGGAGAGACAUUGUUGAGGAUGAGGGAGACAUCGUCCACGAUCAGAGACGUUGUCCGUGAUUGCAGAGACCUUGUCAAAGAUGAGAGAGACGUUGUCCAUGGUCAGAGACAUUGUCGCUGCUUCGCAGAGCUCUGCGCAAGAAUCGGUAGUGACACUGUGGUUCCUCGAUUCGACGGCAUGACCGCGAUCAGCUGACAUUGUUAAUGAUCACAGUGAAACAGUCUAUCAUCAGAGACUUGGUCCACGAUCACAGACACAUUGUCAAUGAUCGCUGAGACUUUGUCCAUAAUCUCAGAGACAUUGUCCGCGAUCACAGAGACGUAGUCCCCCAUCACAGAAGACCAGGUGUCACCAUUUCGUCCACAACAUCGUCCACAAUUGCUGAGACGUCGUCCAUGAUCGGAGAGACAUUGUUGAGGAUGAGGGAGACAUCGUCCACGAUCAGAGACAUUGUCCCGUGACUCGUGGUGACUCGGUCCCCGAUAAGUCGGCACUGCCGGCGUUCAUGGAGACAUUGUCAAUGAUCGCUGAGACUUUGUCCAUAAUCUCAGAGACAUUGUCCGCGAUCAGAGACGUAGUCCGCAAUCACAGACGACAUCGUCCACCAUCGCUGAGACGUCGUCCAUGAUCGGAGAGACAUUGUUGAGGAUGAGGGAGACAUCGUCCUCGAUCAGAGACAUUGUCCGUGACUCGUGGUGACUCGGUCCCCGAUAAGUCGGCACUGCCGGCGUUCAUGGAGACAUUGUCGAUGAUCGCAGAGACUUUGUCCAUGAUCUCAGAGACAUUGUCUGCGAUCGCAGAGAGUCUUCGUACAGUGACGUUCUUUGAGACCAGGACAGAGGCCUCCAGGUGUCACCACUUCGUCCACAACAUCAUCCACAAUUGCUGAGACGUCGUCCAUGAUCGGAGAGACAUUGUUGAGGAUGAGGGAGACAUCGUCCACGAUCAGAGACGUUGUCCGUGAUUGCAGAGACCUUGUCAAAGAUGAGAGAGACGUUGUCCAUGGUCAGAGACAUUGUCGCUGCUUCGCAGAGCUCUGCGCAAGAAUCGGUAGUGACACUGUGGUUCCUCGAUUCGACGGCAUGACCGCGAUCAGCUGACAUUGUUAAUGAUCACAGUGAAACAGUCUAUCAUCAGAGACUUGGUCCACGAUCACAGACACAUUGUCAAUGAUCGCUGAGACUUUGUCCAUAAUCUCAGAGACAUUGUCCGCGAUCACAGAGACGUAGUCCCCCAUCACAGAAGACCAGGUGUCACCAUUUCGUCCACAACAUCGUCCACAAUUGCUGAGACGUCGUCCAUGAUCGGAGAGACAUUGUUGAGGAUGAGGGAGACAUCGUCCACGAUCAGAGACAUUGUCCCGUGACUCGUGGUGACUCGGUCCCCGAUAAGUCGGCACUGCCGGCGUUCAUGGAGACAUUGUCAAUGAUCGCUGAGACUUUGUCCAUAAUCUCAGAGACAUUGUCCGCGAUCAGAGACGUAGUCCGCAAUCACAGACGACAUCGUCCACCAUCGCUGAGACGUCGUCCAUGAUCGGAGAGACAUUGUUGAGGAUGAGGGAGACAUCGUCCUCGAUCAGAGACAUUGUCCGUGACUCGUGGUGACUCGGUCCCCGAUAAGUCGGCACUGCCGGCGUUCAUGGAGACAUUGUCAAUGAUCGCUGAGACUUUGUCCAUAAUCUCAGAGACAUUGUCCGCGAUCGCAGAGAGUCUUCGUACAGUGACGUUCUUUGAGACCAGGACAGAGGCCUCCAGGUGUCACCACUUCGUCCACAACAUCAUCCACAAUUGCUGAGACGUCGUCCAUGAUCGGAGAGACAUUGUUGAGGAUGAGGGAGACAUCGUCCACGAUCAGAGACGUUGUCCGUGAUUGCAGAGACCUUGUCAAAGAUGAGAGAGACGUUGUCCAUGGUCAGAGACAUUGUCGCUGCUUCGCAGAGCUCUGCGCAAGAAUCGGUAGUGACACUGUGGUUCCUCGAUUCGACGGCAUGACCGCGAUCAGCUGACAUUGUUAAUGAUCACAGUGAAACAGUCUAUCAUCAGAGACUUGGUCCACGAUCACAGACACAUUGUCAAUGAUCGCUGAGACUUUGUCCAUAAUCUCAGAGACAUUGUCCGCGAUCACAGAGACGUAGUCCCCCAUCACAGAAGACCAGGUGUCACCAUUUCGUCCACAACAUCGUCCACAAUUGCUGAGACGUCGUCCAUGAUCGGAGAGACAUUGUUGAGGAUGAGGGAGACAUCGUCCACGAUCAGAGACAUUGUCCCGUGACUCGUGGUGACUCGGUCCCCGAUAAGUCGGCACUGCCGGCGUUCAUGGAGACAUUGUCAAUGAUCGCUGAGACUUUGUCCAUAAUCUCAGAGACAUUGUCCGCGAUCAGAGACGUAGUCCGCAAUCACAGACGACAUCGUCCACCAUCGCUGAGACGUCGUCCAUGAUCGGAGAGACAUUGUUGAGGAUGAGGGAGACAUCGUCCUCGAUCAGAGACAUUGUCCGUGACUCGUGGUGACUCGGUCCCCGAUAAGUCGGCACUGCCGGCGUUCAUGGAGACAUUGUCGAUGAUCGCAGAGACUUUGUCCAUGAUCUCAGAGACGUAGUCCACGAUCACUGAGUCCUCAUAUAAUGAAGACGGUGUCACCACUUUGUCCACGAUCUGAGAGACAUGGUCCACGAUCAGAGAUGUUGUCUAUGACUCACAGAGACGUGCAAGAGUCGGUAGUGGCGGAGUUCCCCGAUUCAACGGCAGUGCCUGGGAUCAGAAAGAUAUUGUCGAUACAUGAUCAUGGAGACUUUGUCCAUAAACAGAGAUAUUGUCUGCGAUCACAGAGACGUAGUUCACGAUCGCAGAGAGGUUCAGGACAGAGACCUGCAAGUAACCUGCAAUAUAAAUGCAACUAGGAAUAUCUGAAGAUUUAACAGUCAAAGUAAUCUCUUCCUAGAUGUAGUUUGCAACAGU